AGUGGAAUUGCUACAUCACAUGGUAACUCCAUGUUUAACUUUUUGAGGAACUGCCAGACUGUUUUCCAAAGUGGCUUAAUUAUUUUAUAUCCACGCCAGAAAU
rnacentral:pre_miRNA from 1 species